AAGGUCUUAGCUUAAUAAAAGCAUCUGGGUUGCAUUCAGAAGAUGGAAGAUAAAGUCUUGUAGAUCUUA
rnacentral:tRNA from 1 species